rnacentral:rRNA from 1 species
UACGGGGGGGGGCAAGCGUUGUUCGGAAUUACUGGGCGUAAAGGGCUCGUAGGCGGCCAACUAAGUCCGACGUGAAAUCCCCAGGCUUAACCUGGGAACUGCGUCGGAUACUGGAUGGCUUGAAUUCGGGGAGAGGGAUGCAGAAUUCCAGGUGUAGCGGUGAAAUGCGUAGAUAUCGGGAGGAACACCUGAGGCGAAGGCGGGCUACUGGGCCGAUACUGACGCUGAUGCGCGAAAGCCAGGGGAGCGAACGGG